rnacentral:lncRNA from 1 species
GCCGAGUCCAUUUUUGCAUCCAUUUCGCGCAGAAAUGACUCCGACUCAGUCCAACACUCUCCAGAUGUGUCGACCAGUCAAUAACACUGAAGCCAAUCCUAUCCAAAGCUCAGAAACACUACAAUAUAUUAAUUCAUCAAAUAAAAUAAAGAGAAAAAUAAAAUUAUGCCUAGAUUCCUAAUGAAUAAUUUUUAACAAAUUGUUCCAGAACAAAAUAUAAUAACCUAUUUUGACUGAAACAGCUAGUUUAAUCCAAUUUUAUUAUCCUUUAAAUAUCCCCUCUGUACCAAAUUUCAAGGAAUCUUGUACCAAACGCAGCCACAGAGUUUUAAACUUUAGAAUGAGAAUCUUUCCUUUCGAUAUCUUUUAAAUCACACAAAUCUAAUUUAAAAUGAUUGAGAUAUCGUGAUAUUUUUACUGGACGAUUAAACUAUAGGGUGCGUUUGGUUCACGCUAUUUUCUAAGAUUCCUAAUAAUCCAAUAGGAAUAAAAAUAUAUGACGGUGUUUGGCUAAGCGUACUAAGUAAUCUAGUUGGUAAUAUUGGAUUUAUUUGGGAAUGAGAUUCAUCACAAAGUACUAAUCUCAUUCCCUUGAGAGAGGAUGAGUAUCCUCAUAUUAAUGGAUUAGAGUAAUUAUAAUAUAUCUAAUCUCUUUCUUUCUCACUACCCGCCGGCUAGUUGGUAUUAUUUUUCUUUAUACUCUAACCUCAUAUCUCUCUCUAAACUUAUAUUUUUUUCUCUAAACUUCAACUCUUUUUCUCUUUCUAAACUAAGCUCUCUCCCCCCAUCUUUUUCUAAAAUCUAAACUCUCUCACUCUCUCUAUCCUCGACUCUAUUUCUUUUUCUAUUUCUUUAAUUAUGCUCUAUCUGUAACCUAUGUUCUCUCUCCCAUUUUUCUAAAAAGAUGUUGAAAUUUUUUGUAGAAUUAUAUAUCUAAAAUUAAUUAAAGAAAUAAAUAAAUUAAUUGUAUAUUUUUUGUAAUCUUAAAUAACAUGACUAAAUAAUAUGACUGUGCGAACCAAAUAUAGGAAUGUCAUAUUCUUAGUAAUAGGAUGAAAAGGAAUAAAAUUUUCAGACAUCUUUUUAUUUUUUAGUAAUAUUUUAUAAUACGAAGCAAA